rnacentral:piRNA from 1 species
UGGGAAAUGACCUGGUGAGAGACUGCCAAC